AACGAACGCUGGCGGCAUGCCUAACACAUGCAAGUCGAACGAGACCUUCGGGUCUAGUGGCGCACGGGUGCGUAACGCGUGGGAACCUGCACUUAGGUUAGGAAUCACUCCCCGUAGGGGGAGCUCAUACAGGAUAAUGUCUUCGGACCAAAGAUGUAUCGCCUUUGGAUGGGCCCGGGUUGGUUUAGCUAGUUGGUAGGGUACAAGCCUACCAAGGCCACGAUCCAUAGCUGGUCGGUGAGGAGGCCCAGCCACACUGGGGCUGCGACACGGCCCAGACGGCGACGCGAGGGAGCAGUGUAGUAUAUUGUGCGAGGGGCGCUAGCCUGAUCCAGCAAUGCCGCGGGAGUGAUGCAGGGCGUAGUGUUGUAAAGCUCUCUUACCCGAGAUGUUAAUGACAGUACCGGGUGAAUAAGCUCCGGCUAACUCCGUG
rnacentral:rRNA from 1 species